rnacentral:rRNA from 1 species
UACGUAGGCAGCGAGCGUUGUUCGGAGUUACUGGGCGUAAAGCGUGCGUAGGCGGUUGUCUAAGUUUGGUGUGAAAUCUCCCGGCUUAACUGGGAGGGUGCGCCGAAAACUGGGUGACUGGAGUGUCGGAGAGGUAAGCGGAAUUCCUGGUGUAGCAGUGAAAUGCGUAGAGAUGCGGAGGAACACCGAUGGCGAAGGCGGGUCUCUGGGCAGUAACUGACGCUGAGGAGCGAAAGCGUGGGGGAGCGAACAGG